UGCAUGGACUGUAUUGGUGUGAUAUGAACCAUGGGAUCACAAAGAGUCAGACAUGGCUGAACAACUGAACAACAGCCUCUGCUUUCUAAUCCUGAGGUCUUUCCACUGCACCAUGAAACUGUGCAUUGUGUGGAGACCUGAAAUGUUUUGUAAGCCAUGGGUCUAAUCCUCUCUACCAUUCAUUGUACUCAUCACAAGCAAGAAACAGUCCACAUCAUUUGGAAAUUUGAAGCCUUUACCCAUAGCUGGGCAAUAGGACCCAUCAUCACAUUCCCGGUGAUUAGGAAGAAAUUGAUAAGGUAAAAGCAAAAAGGGUGCUCUAUCCACUGAGCCUCCAUGGUCCAAAGAGGGCAUGGCUUGAAUCCAAGCCAUGAUUCAAGAGAGAAAGCACAGAGCAGACUGCCAUGCCAUGCUAGAACUCCUGGAGUAGACAAAUGCCAGCAGCCCCCUGCACAUAAGCAAGGAAGUCGGUGAAUUAUUAAGUGGAAUAAUUGGAAUCAGCAAGGUCACCAAGCAGUCUACCACCUAUCCUGGCUCCUGGUUCUGGCCUUUUCUUCCCUGCCCAGUAAUUACCCAAUAAGUGGUGAUGACAGGUGGGACCUUGCCACAUGCCUCCCUUUAUACAUCACAGACAUGCAGGUGGAUGCAAGUUCUAUCUACACCUAAAACAAAUACCAUUUACCAGGGCUUCCCUUUCCCUGAGACACGACAAUAUUGAAAGUAGGCCAAUUAACAACCUUACAAUGGCAGCCAAGUGUGAAAGGAAGAGUCACUCAACGUGGCAAACUUCAUUGUUGUCUUAUUUUAAGAAACUGCCACAGCCACCCCAAGCCUUCAGCAACUACCACCCUGAUGAGUCAGCAGCCAUCAACAUCGAGGCAAGACUAUCCAUCAGCAAAAAGAUUAUGACUCACUGAAGGCUCAGAUGGCAUU